rnacentral:tRNA from 1 species
GCCCCGUUAGCUCAACUGGAUAGAGUACCGGUCUUCGGAACCGGUGAUACGGGUUCGAAUCCCAUGCGGGGCA